UCGACCUCAAAUCAGGUAGGAAUACCCGCUGAACUUAAGCAUAUCAAUAAGC
rnacentral:rRNA from 1 species